UUGAUCAUGGCUCGUUGAACGCUGGCGGGAUGUUUUACACAUGCAAGUCGAACGGCAGCACGGACUUCGGUCUGGUGGCGAGUGGCGAACGGGUGGUAAUGUCGGGAACGUUACCUAGUAGCGGGGGAUAACUACGCGAAAGCGUAGCUAAUGCCGCAUACGCCCUUCGGGGGAAAGCGGGGGGACCUUCGGGCCUCGCACUAUUAAACGGCCGAUAUCGGAUUAGCUAGUUGGUGGGGUAACGGCUCACCAAGGCGACGAUCCGUAGCUGGUUUGAGAGGACGACCAGCCACAUAGGACUGAGACACGGCCCAGACUCCUGGGAGGCAGCAGUGGAAAUUUUGGCGGACAAUGGGGGAAACCCUGAUCCAGCCAUCCCGCGUGUGCGAUGAAGGCCUUCGGGUUGUAAAGCACUUUUUGGCAGGGAAAGAAACGGCGCAGGAUAAUACCCCGUGCAACUGACGGUACCUGCAGAAUAAGCGCAAGCUGUGCGAUGCCAGCAGCCGCGCGGUAAUACGUAGGGUGCAAGCGUUAAUCGGAAUUACUGGGAGUAAAGCGUGCGCAGGCGGUUCGGAAGAAAAGGAAUGUGAAAUCCCAGAGCUUAACUUUGAGACUGCAUUUUUAACUGCAGGAAAGCUAGAGUGUGUCAGAGGAGAGUGGAAUUCCGCGUGUAGCAGUGAAAUGCGCGAAUAUGCGGAGGAACACCGAUGGCGAAGGCAGCCUCCUGGGAUAACUGGCCUCAUGCAGCGUGGGAGCAAACAGGAUUAGAUACCCUGGUAGUCCACCUAAACGAUGUCAACUAGCUGUUACAGGGCCUUCGGGCCUUGGUAGCGCAACUAACGCGUGAAGUUGACCGCCUGCAAGGAGGUACGGUCGCAAGAUUAAAACUCAAAGGAAUUGACGGGGACCCGCACAAGCGGUGGAUGAUGUGGAUUAAUUCGAUGCAACGCCGAAAAACCUUACCUACCCUUGACAUCUCUGGAAUCCCGAAGAGAUUUGGGAGUGCUCGCAAGAGAGCCGGAACACAGGUGCUGCAUGGCUGUCGUCAGCUCGUGUCGUGAGAUGUUGGGUUAAGUCCGCAACGAGCGCAACCCUUGUCAUUAGUUGCUACGAGAAAGGGCACUCUAAUGAGACUGCCGGUGACAAACCGGAGGGAGGUGGGGAUGACGUCAAGUCCUCAUGGCCCUUAUGGGUAGGGCUUCACCCGUCAUGCAAUGGUCAGGACGAAGUUACCAACCCGCGAGGAGCCAAUCCAGAAACCCGAUCGUAGUCCGGAUCGCAGUCUACGCUCGACUGCGUGAAGUCGAAUCGCUGGUAAUCGCGGAUCCAUGUCGCGGUGAAUUCCCGGGUCUUGUACACACCGCCCGUCACACCAUGGGAGUGGGUUCCAAGAAGUAGUUAGCCUAACCGUAAGGAGGGCGAUUACCACGGUAGGAUUCAUGACUGGGGUGAAGUCGUAACAAGGUAA
rnacentral:rRNA from 1 species